rnacentral:lncRNA from 1 species
GGCUUAAAGCCCUAAACUGUGGAUGUUCAGUGUUUGCUUAUGACAGGCUUGCUCUUGCCAAAGUCCACACUCGUGCCAUGUGCUGAGCUCCAGCAGGUGUAGCUCAUAUCAGUGUGUCUGUCCCACAGGCUGAAGACACAUCCAAGAGGGACAACAAGCCACUGCUGCGAGGAGCGUCCUCCAGCCAGCAGAGCCUGUCCCUGUCCCAGUCAUUGCUGCCGGACGUUCCAGUGGUGACCGGGGUAGAGGAGCAAAGAAGCUUGCCCGGGGACUCUCUGGAGGACAGAGAGGAGCUGGAGUUUCCUCACGACCUGCUGCCCAGUCUAGAUUUCAGCAGUGAGCUCAACAUCUGGGAGUCAUCACUGGGGCCCCUCCCAUCUCUGGAUUCUCCACAGCAAGACUUCCAUACUCCAACUGAGGACACAGUAGCCCCAAAACACCGGAGAAGACCCCACCAGUGGCACAGAAAGAAGAGAAAUCAAAUAUAUUCCCUGCUUCAGAGAUAUUAGCUGAUGUCGCAAACGCUAAAGCUAAUCUGCCAAAAGAAGACAUUGCAACGCUUAAAAAGAAGCUGAGUAUUGACCUUCCUGACCCAAUUGAGAAGGUUGGACCAGUCAAGAGGGAAGAAACUGUGAAAGUGUCCAAAUUAGAAGAGACACAGUUGCCUAUUCAACAAGUGAAGACUGAAGCUCCACCAAAGGUUGACAUCCCAAAAGUCAAAAAUGAAGAAGUCCAGAUCCAACCAGAUCCUCCUCAAGUCAGGGCCCAACCGCACGCAUAGGACCAGAGCAGAAGCCAGAGGAGUCUGUGGAAAAACAUUUGGAUAGCCAACCGCAGAAGGAGCCAGUGGGGGAAAAGGCAGAGGGCCCCGCUGAGCUGCAAUACAGUGGGUGAGUCUGAGCACAAUACACAACAUAACAGAGUUUGGCGGGAAUAAUAACAUUUAUGGCUUUCACAUAAAGAGCUCGAUACUCGUAAUGCAAUGGUAAGAAAAUGAUGUUUUCGAGAGAAAGUGCCAUAAAGCGAGCUAUAGUUUUGGGUGUUAUGAGAUAGUUUAAACUCCUUCCUCAAUAUAAAACGUGCAAAGGUGCAAUACCUUACUAGUAAAAU